GGGGUGUAGCUCAGCUGGCUAGAGCGCCUGCCUUGCAAGCAGGAGGUCAUCGGUUCGAUUCCGUUCACCUCC
rnacentral:tRNA from 1 species